AGCUCAGUAUAGACAAUCGCGUUAAUGUCCAACGUCGCAACAUAUGUCCAACAUGGGCCAUCGUUUGGCCAUAUGUGUGUAUUUGAUAAGAAUUAUAUAUUUAUACAGUCGGAGGCCCGUCGCCACACCCGCCUCGUACUUGUUUGAGUGGGCUACACACAAAAUAAAUAGUACGUUAUUGAAACUCAUUAUAAAGCUGCUUCAAUACAAAGUCAAUAGAAUUAUGUUUGGCAAUUUUUAAUCACGUCACGCCGAAACUCGAUGCCUGCGUUGUGUCUACGCAAGUGCUCUUCAGGUGCAUCGACAGAAGACCCUUAGCCACAAAGCCCCGACCGCACAAGCCGCAAGUGUACGGACGAGCGCCGCUGUGGUGGUGGUCCCUGAAGGUUCUGGCACAGAGCACACAUCUGUAAGGCCUCGUGUCUCGGGCAUAAUGACGCUUCCAGUGCUCCGACCACUCAGCCAGACCCCCCGACACAACCUGGAACGCAACACACAGACAUACAUACAUAUGCAUACAUCCUUACUUUCAAUUCUUUAUUAUGUAAACAAAACUUACAAUUGAUUGUAUAUACAAAUAAUUAAAUAUAAAAUUGUCACUUAUAUGGUUUAAAUAGAUUUUUUUGUAAAUGUUUUUACCGCUCUGGAUACGAGUCCUUUUGAAAAAGGUUCAAAUUGAAAAUAUAUUAUGUUGCCAUUGAAUUAAAUAUGAUAUUGUCAUAUGUAAAAUACUAUGCUCUUGUACUAUUUAUUUGUGUACAAUGUGUAUUUAUUAUUAUUCAAUUUUAUACACGUGUGUGUAAAUAUAACCAGCAUAAGUUUUUAAUAUUUUUUUAUAAGGUGAUAUUAUUAAAUUUAUUAGUAUUAAUGUAGUCUUAGAUUGUAUGACUAAAAAUAUAAAUGACAAUCACCUCCAUCAUUAAUAUUUUGGGGUAUAUGUAAAUUUUACUGACCUUUUGACAGCGCAGACAGCGCUGCACGUCGCCUUGCGGAGGCGGUGGCGCGGUCUGCGGGGCCGCUGCUGAAUCACCAUGAUUUCUGAAACAUUUUGAAAGAAAUUUGUUAUCUGGCCCAUACCACUACAAUAAUAUUGCACAAUUAGAUCACUGUACAAUAUAAUUAGCAGUGUAGGGAUAAUAUUGAAAAAUUGCGUAAUGAUUGAACAAAAGUUUGAGAGAUCUUAAAUUUUAUUGCGCCAUAUGUAUUUUUUGUACUGUGUAGGCGCUACCCUACACUGUAGGGUUAGUGUUCCUCAAUAUUUUUUCAUUUCAAUGUUUUGAGCGGUGAUCAGUUCAGUCACGUGAAUGCUUUGUCUAUCUUAUUGCUAAAUAUUACUGAACAUUUGGAUUCAAAGAGGGUGUUCAAUAUUAUUGCACAAUAAAAAUAUUGUGCAAAGUUAUUGUAAAUGUAUGGGCAACCUUAGAAUAUAUUAAUAGUUAUAUAGAGACAACUUUAAAGUCACAAAUUUCUUGAUAAUAAAGAUUAUUGUGCAAUUAUAA